rnacentral:rRNA from 1 species
UACAGAGGGGGCAAGCGUUGUUCGGAAUUACUGGGCGUAAAGGGCGCGUAGGCGGCCUGCUAAGUCGAACGUGAAAUCCCUGGGCUCAACCCAGGAACUGCGUCCGAUACUGGUUGGCUUGAAUCCGGGAGAGGGAUGCGGAAUUCCAGGUGUAGCGGUGAAAUGCGUAGAUAUCGGGAGGAACACCUGUAGCGAAGGCGGUUCUCUGGGCCAAUACUGACGCUGAGGAGCGAAAGCGUGGGGAGCAAACAGG